rnacentral:rRNA from 1 species
UACGAAGGGUGCAAGCGUUGUCCGGAAUUACUGGGCGUAAAGCGCACGUAGUCGGCUUUGCAAGUCGGGUGUGAAAUCCCCGGGCUCAACCUGGGAACUGCAUCCGAGACUGCAUUGCUAGAGUAUGGGAGAGGGAAGCGGAAUUUCUGGUGUAGCAGUGAAAUGCGUAGAUAUCAGAAGGAACAUCAGUGGCGAAGGCGGCUUCCUGGACCAAUACUGACGAUCAGGUGCGAAAGCGUGGGGAGCAAACAGG